rnacentral:sRNA from 1 species
GCUGGGUGCAGUGGCGCACGCCUGUAAUCCUAGCGGCUCAGGAGGCUGAGACAAGAGGAUUGUGAGUUCAAAGCCAGCCUCAGGAAUGGUGAGGUGCUAAGCAAUUCAGUGAGACCCUGUCUCCA